UAGGGAAUCUUCCACAAUGGGCGCAAGCCUGAUGGAGCAACACCGCGUGAGUGAAGAAGGUCUUCGGAUCGUAAAACUCUGUUGUUAGAGAAGAACACGAGUGAGAGUAACUGUUCAUUCGAUGACGGUAUCUAACCAGCAAGUCACGGCUAACUACGUGCCCG
rnacentral:rRNA from 1 species